rnacentral:rRNA from 1 species
UCGGGUUGUAAAGCACUUUUGUCCGGAAAGAAAACUUCUGCAUUAAUACUGCGGGAGGAUGACGGUACCGGAAGAAUAAGCACCGGCUAACUACGUGCCAGCAGCGCGGUAAUCGUAGGGUGCGAGCGUUAAUCGGAAUUACUGGGCGUAAAGCGUGCGCAGGCGGUUCGUUAAGACAGAUGUGAAAUCCCCGGGCUUAACCUGGGAACUGCAUUUGUGACUGGCGAGCUAGAGUAUGGCAGAGGGGGGUAGAAUUCCACGUGUAGCAGUGAAAUGCGUAGAGAUGUGGAGGAAUACCGAUGGCGAAGGCAGCCCCCUGGGCCAAUACUGACGCUCAUGCACGAAAGCGUGGGGAGCAAACAGGAUUAGAUACCCUGGUAGUCCACGCCCUAAACGAUGUCAACUAGUUGUUGGGGAUUCAUUUCCUUAGUAACGUAGCUAACGCGUGAAGUUGACCGCCUGGGGAGUACGGUCGCAAGAUUAAAACUCAAAGGAAUUGACGGGGACCCGCACAAGCGGUGGAUGAAGGUGGAUUAAUUCGAUGCAACGCGAAAAACCUUACCUACCCUUGACAUGGUCGGAACCCUGCUG